UACGAGGGGGGCAAGCGUUGUUCGGAAUUAUUGGGCGGAAAGGGCGCGUAGGCGGUGCGGUAAGUCACCUGUGAAACCUCUAGGCUUAACCUAGAGCCUGCAGGCGAAACUGCCGUGCUGGAGUGUGGGAGAGGUGCGUGGAAUUCCCGGUGUAGCGGUGAAAUGCGUAGAUAUCUGGAGGAACACCGGUGGCGAAGGCGGCAUCCUGGACCAACACUGACGCUGAGUGAGCGAAAGCCAGGGGAGCAAACGGG
rnacentral:rRNA from 1 species